UAUUGUCUCCUCCAUCUAAGUUAUGUAAGAGGAAAAGAGCGAAAAGCUUACUUUUAGGUAGUGGCCUAAGCGCUAAGAAGCUCCAAUCAUGCUACUCAGACUAUAUGCUUAACACAUGCAAGUCGAACCUUGGUUUUCGGAGUUCGAAAGAGAAGGGGAAGAAGCGGGGUAGAGGAAUUGGUCAACUCAUCAGGCUCAUGACCUGAAGAUUGCAGGUUCGAAUCCUGUCCCCGCCUA